AUUGAACGCUGUCGGCAGGCCUAACACAUGCAAGUCGAACGAGUGGCGGACGGGUGAGUAAUGUCUGGGAAACUGCCUGAUGGAGGGGGCUAACUACUGGAAACGGUAGCUAAUACCGCAUACCAUCGGAUGUGCCCAGAUGGGAUUAGCUAGUAGGUGGGUUAACGGCUCACCUAGGCGACGAUCCCUAGCUGGUCUGAGAGGAUGACCGGCCACACUGGAACUGAGAAACGGUCCAGACUCCUACGGGAGGCAGCAGGGGGGAAGAGUGCACAAUGGGCGCAAGCCUGAUGCAGCCAUGCCGAGUGUAUGAAGAAGGCCUUCGGGUUGUAAAGUACUUGCAGCGGGGAGGCGUUACCCGCAGAAGAAGCACCGGCUAACUCCGUGCCAGCAGCCGCGGUAAUUC
rnacentral:rRNA from 1 species